GAGACUGUUAGGUUAGACUACUAAUAAUGAAACCGUCAUUGAUACAAUAAUAAUAUCAAAUGGAGACAUUAGCACUCAUGAAUACAGAAGAGAUGUGAUGAGAAGAAGAUAAACAUAUGUCACUAUGGAGAUGGAACUUAUGGUAUUUCGUUGGAUGAGACUGUCAUUGGCAGUGAUUUAAUUCACUUACUGUAUGUGUUUGGAGCUAAUGAAGAAGAGGCUGCUAGUGUCCUGUACAGUAUAUCUGAUGCUGAGUCUAAUGUUAGUAUCACUGGUAGUGGCCAUGAGAGGAAAACACCUUAUCUAACUCAUCCUGUCUUUAAUAGUUAUCCUUCAGAGACUAAGCUGUUACAUUAUAUAAAGGGGCUUUAGAGCAGCUGUGUCACUCUAUGAUACCACUGGUAAUAAUAAUAAUCAUAAU